CGGAGACCUUCAGCGAGGCAACUGCUCUUAAGCUUUUAAAAUUCCAUUUUAUGAAGCCCCACCUUUCCCUGCUGAAGUACAGAUCUUUUCUCUAUUAGGAAGCUGGAGGAGCUGUUAUCAACCGUCUCACAUUAUCAGACUUCCUGGCUUAAGGAAUGUUUCUGGUUCCUGUAUUUGUGGAUCCUUAGCUCACAAGAAGCGACAGAUGGGAUGCAAGUGAGCACGAGUCAGUCUGACGGCCUGAAAACCACUCGAGGUCUCCUUAAUAGGCACACCACCUACGAUGGAUCCCCUACUCCACUGAGACGGAAUCAAUGCCCGGCUUCGCGCCUAGUAGCGGUAACGCUGUCAUUCCAGGACCCCCGGGGACAGUGCAAUGGAGCAACUCCCGCGGGGAGUUGGAGUGAGUGAGCUAGGAGCGGGUGAGGAGGACUACUCCUAGUCCUGAAGAGGCUAACCAAUGGCUUCCGAGGCAGGAGGUUCCCUCUACCACCCCAGCACCCUCCCUCCAUCUGAGUGAGCACUUUAUCCGUCUCCUUCCUGAGGAUCCGACUCACGAUCUGCGCCUCCCUUCCCAGGCGAUGCCUCCCUUUCUCCCGGCCCUGAGCCCCUGACCCAGCGGGGCAUCCUACCUCUUCCAAGCCUCAGAGGUGUCCACUUGCCAGCUUCGGUCACACGUGUGACCGCGGGUGUCCAGGAGGUGCAAGCGUCCGCACCCCGCCCCUCCCGGCCCCGCCCGCUGCAGGAGCUGGCCACCUCCAGAUGGCCCUAACCCUGAGGCUAGCACGACCUCAGGUGGCUCAGCACUGCACUUUUCUCCCAAGCACCUUUUCCCUGCUUCAGAGAGUCCCCAGCUUCAGAGAGGCUUUCGGGGACCACAGGCACUCCCUAAAAGGUGUGAUCCUGAAGCCCGGGUUCCUGGAUGGUCCAGGUGUACUGACUAUGGAGACUUCCUGUUAUGCAAAGUGAUUUCUGGCUUUGGAGGAAGGGAAUGCUCUGAGAGGGAAUAGCUCUGAAUUUCUUCAGCCAGGGGAACCACAGCUAACAUGUGGGACAAGUAGCCACUGACCACUCACUUGCCAAGGAAGGCUCCGAUGGGUGAUAUAUGGGCUUCUUCUUUUCUAUUCUUUUCUAAAUACACCCAUCCAUCCAUCCAUUGAUCCAUCGAUCCAUUGAUCCAUCCAUCCAUCCAUCUAUCCAUCCAUUCAUUCAUCCAAUCAAUCUGCUUUUUGCACAUUUGACAAAAAUCUGUCAGGUGGGCACAGUUCUGGAUUGGUGUGAGAAGAGUUCCCUUGUGGUGUUUAAGAUGCUACAACCUUUGCUGCUGUCUGUAGCACUUGUAGGUAAGAGACUGACUUUAUUUUGCACCAUUGCUGCCCCUUUGUACUCCCUAAAAACACGAAGAGAAUGCCAAGCACUAAAAUUCUCUUCACACUCAGGGAAGAACCAGGGAGAGGUACUACCGGAGGAAAAGCUGCUCUGUUUCCAAAAAAAGAGCUGAUUCACUAGCAUAACCAUAAAGGCUAUAUAAAUAAUUGGCUCCAAGAUAAUUUCCAAAUUGGCAAAUAAUUCUUACAUCAUUGAAAAGUGGAGACCAUGAGGAAAUAAACAAAGCUGUUAUCAGAGAACUAAGAGGUUCCAGUCCCCAGGUGGUCCCCCAGUCCCCGUUUGACCCUCCCGAGGGUCGGGACAAACUGACUCCUGAACAGGGACCCACGGGGAUUGAAGAGGAGAGAAUGGUGCUCAUCAUUGGAGGGUAGGCCUACCCUCUCAUCUUCAGAAGCACCAGAGAGUAGCUUCGGUUCAGCAGGAUGCCACAGUCCGGGAGGAUUACAGUGCGGUGCAAAUCUUUUUUUUUUUUUUAAAGAUUUAUUAUAUGUACAUACACAUUGUAGCUGUCCUCAGACAUACACAGAAGAAGGUGUCAGA